rnacentral:lncRNA from 1 species
AGAGUGAGCUGGGCUCCACUGAUCUUCUUCGUUUUGACGUUUGGAUCAAUCGUUUACCAUUGCAAAUGUGUCAACUGGUUGAGGACAAAGAUUGUUGAGAAGCUCCCAUGGUAAUUUGGUUUUGAUCAAUUCUCAAUUAGCAGAGAGGAUUUGUGAUGGUGUUUGCUUAUAUAUAUAUAUAUAAGUUAUAGUGUGUCAAAGUACAUCAAGUGGCUGUAAAUGGCAAUGAACUUUCUUAGUACAUCCGUAGAUGCUAAUCAAAUAAGUGAAGCAUCGCUGUACAUCAUAAUCUUUGCAAAUAAUUAAUGAGUUUUUAUGUUAAUUCUGUUGCGUAAAAUUUCUUAUUUCUUUCAUUAUAUAUCAGAACGAACGGAGUAUAUAAGUAAGUUUUCAUUCUGUAAAAUUACAUCUUAAAUAUAUUUGCUUAUUUGCCCUCUGCUGAUUGCUAAGGAAAUGCCAACGGUUUGCAAGUUCAUUGGUGGUAACAUCGAGUUGCCAGGCACGAGAUUAGAUCUCCAUCUUGUCAUUCAUGAGAUGGUCUGAGUUUAUACAAAUAAUUCGGGAAAAUAAGAUUACGUGUAAUAAUAUAUACAGUAGUUUCUUAGACGGUAAUAUAUUAUAUUUCGUUUCUUAUUUAUCUUGGCCUUUUAUAAAGUUAAUGUUAAGCAGAACAAACUGCUCGCAAGAAUAUUGAUUGAUAGCCGUCACUGAAAGCUAGCCAUUUAGGCAAUCAAUUGAACAAGUAUUUCGUUCAGUUUCAAUUGAUAACAUAAUCAAGCUGUAUGUAACUUCGUGAGUGUGGUUGACGUGUUGAUCACGUUACUAGGUUAAAAAAGCAGAAAAAUUCACCUCUGUAUUUGAUAUCAAUACGACGUCGGUUGAGUGCACCAUACGGAUUUCGAAUUUCUGCAAUUAAAAGAGGGUAAAUGUUUAUUAAGUAGAAAAAGAAGAAAGAAAUUGCUCCUGUGAAUUAUGAAACAAAGUGG